AGUUCUAUACGACAAACGAGCGUGUGGUGGGGAAAAUGAAUAGAGAGUGAGAUAGAGAGGGUCGGAGGGGUGGGCAGUGCGUCACGGGAUGGGCGCAGGGGCGAGGCUACGCACGAUGGCACGAGCGAGGGUGAUGUUGAGCGUGAUGGCAGGAGCGAGUUGCGCGCGAGAGCGAAUUGGCGGAGCAGGCGAGGACGCAAGGGCGAGGACGCGCCUACGACCUACGCAAGAGCGAGCUGUGGACAGUGCUCGUGGGCUGUCCAGCGGGCGGUGCGCGGGUGUUGUGCAGCGAGCGGUGCACAGUGGUUGUGCGACGACGAUAGCGAAGUCUGGUUGGGGCACUCGAGCACUCGCGGUGCCUUAUUUCUAUUUGAUUUUGCGCAGGUUACCAGGUCUUCCUCUAUGAUCAGCGUCUUGAGAAUGUCAGCACUUCCAUAUCUUGGACAUCCCUCUUAGUGUUUGUUGAAAUGUCUCUUAGAAAAUGCUUCUCCGAAUAUUGCAUUACAUUGGCAUCAUUCAAAUUUCAAAGGCUUUGAAAAUAAAGAAGUAUUGGUCUGUAGACUUUGAUUUAGUGUAAUUUCAUUCGUGGGAUUCUCUUCGAACAAAUAUAUAGGAAAAUACAUCUCUCAAACAUUCUACAAUUGUUUUGUUUGUAUGUUUAGAGUGGAAUGCUAGGAUAAAAAUGUAGAUCAUCUGCUACUGAUAUGUGCAUUCGUUUGCUGAAAUGAAUGAAUGAAAAAACUUGUUGUGAUUCUCCCUCUCAUAAAUAAUUUUUUUGUCUCUACUCUCCGCAUGCAGUUUAUAUGCUCCAGAACCAGGAGGCUCAUGCUGCAGAGGGUCCCACUGAAAUAACAAAUGGAUACUCAGAUCUGCAACUUUCCUAUGCGGCCUUCACUCGAUAAUGUGAUCAUCUUCUGAUGACCAUCACCUGCUGCGUGUUCUCCAAAUUUCUCAGUUCAUGCCAAUGCAAUGCAGCAGGCAGUGGCGCUGAGAGGCUCCGGGAUCUACCACCGCCCCGGGAUCUACCACCGCCCUGAGCAGUCAUCACAUUCUUGUCAAGAUCUGGCUUGGCCUUUCUCUUUGCUUCUGCAAUUACGCCAUCCUUGGGAACAACAGACAAAAGCGUUGGGUUUAUUACCUUCGAG